rnacentral:rRNA from 1 species
AUGAACGCUGGCGGCGUGCCUAAUACAUGCCAGUCGAGCGAACGGACGAGAAGCUUGCUUCUCUGAUGUUAGCGGCGGACGGGUGAGUAACACGUGGAUAACCUACCUAUAAGACUGGGAUAACUUCGGGAAACCGGAGCUAAUACCGGAUGAUAUUUUGAACCGCAUGGUUCAAAAGUGAAAGACGGUCUUGCUGUCACUUAUAGAUGGAUCCGCGCUGCAUUAGCUAGUUGGUAAGGUAACGGCUUACCAAGGCAACGAUGCAUAGCCGACCUGAGAGGGUGAUCGGCCACACUGGAACUGGGACACGGUCCAGACUCCUACGGGAGGCAGCAGUAGGGAAUCUUCCGCAAUGGGCGAAAGCCUGACGGAGCAACGCCGCGUGAGUGAUGAAGGUCUUCGGAUCGUAAAACUCUGUUAUUAGGGAAGAACAUAUGUGUAAGUAACUGUGCACAUCUUGACGGUACCUAAUCAGAAAGCCACGGCUAACUACGUG